GCUAGGUCUGUGGUUGAAAGUCGAUGCCAGUUGCAGGCGAAACGAUCCACGUAAGCUAAUCAAAGUAUUAGUGAGCAUGGUGCAGCUUAGAAGUAAGCCCUACCGAGAAAAUCGAGAGGGUUAGUAGUGAGAGGUUGAAUCCGGGUAGCAAAAGCUCCAGUAGGCGAGUGUGGGGUCAAAGAUCAGGUCAGCUAG
rnacentral:ncRNA from 1 species